rnacentral:sRNA from 1 species
GAAUCGCGGUGCGACGAAGGAGUAGGUGGUGGGAUCUCACCGUGGGUCCGAUUAGUCUUUUCUCUGCCUUGCUUGCUUGAGCUUCAGCGGAAUUCGAAAUGGUAAACUUCGCAGAGACGCUUGAUGACUCCGCGGGUUUUUGCCAGCGGGAGAAAAACCCGUUACACAGAGGGAUGGGGGUGAAGUGGCGACGGUUGGGAACGCGCGGAGACAGGAUUUAGAAGAGUGGGGGGAGGUGUUUUGUCGGCUGCUAGCGGAGCAGCCUCGGAUCUCGCGGCGGGCGGCGACGGUUGGGUGGCGCGCGCAGCGCCGCUGGGGGCCGGCGGGCGGGCGGAGGCGCGCGGCCGUGGCGAGCGCGCGGCGGGGGGCGAACGGGCGGGGUCGCCCCUGCGGCGCGCCGCGGGCCGGAGACCCCGGCGGGGUGCGGGGACGCGCUCGCGGCGGGACGCGCCGCGGUGGGGGAUGGGCGCGCCGCCUUGGUAAUUCUAUAUUCUCCGUUCCUCCUCCGCUCGCGGGCGUGUGCGCGCCGCAGGCUGGCGGUAAGGCUGGAAAGGACUCCGGAAAGGCCAAGACAAAGGCGGUUUCCCGCUCGCAGAGAGCCGGCUUGCAGUUCCCAGUGGGCCGUAUUCAUCGACACCUGAAAUCUAGGACGACCAGUCAUGGACGUGUGGGCGCGACUGCCGCUGUGUACAGCGCAGCCAUCCUGGAGUACCUCACCGCAGAGGUACUUGAACUGGCAGGAAAUGCAUCAAAAGACUUAAAGGUAAAGCGUAUUACCCCUCGUCACUUGCAACUUGCUAUUCGUGGAGAUGAAGAAUUGGAUUCUCUCAUCAAGGCUACAAUUGCUGGUGGUGGUGUCAUUCCACACAUCCACAAAUCUCUGAUUGGAAAGAAAGGACAACAGAAGACUGUCUAAAGGAUGCCUGGAUUCCUUAUUAUCUCAGGACUCUAAAUACUCUAACAGCUGUCCAGUGUUGGUGAUUCCAGUGGACUGUAUCUCUGUGAAAAACACGAUUUUGCCUUUUUGUAAUUCUAUUUGAGCAAGUUGGAAGUUUAAUUAGCUUUCCAACCAACCAAAUUUCUGCAUUCGAGUCUUAACCAUAUUUAAGUGUUACUGUGGCUUCAAAGAAGCUAUUGAUUCUGAAGUAGUGGGUUUUGAUUGAGUUGACUGUUUUUAAAAAACUGUUUGGAUUUUAAUUGUGAUGCAGAAGUUAUAGUAACAAACAUUUGGUUUUGUACAGACAUUAUUUCCACUCUG